rnacentral:rRNA from 1 species
UACGUAGGGGGCAAGCGUUGUCCGGAAUCAUUGGGCGUAAAGGGCGCGUAGGCGGAUAUUUAAGUCUGGUGUGAAAACUUGGGGCUCAACCCCAAGCCUGCAUCGGAAACUGGAUAUCUUGAGGACAGGAGAGGAAAGUGGAAUUCCACGUGUAGCGGUGAAAUGCGUAGAGAUGUGGAGGAACACCAGUGGCGAAGGCGACUUUCUGGACUGUAACUGACGCUGAGGCGCGAAAGCGUGGGGAGCAAACAGG